UCGAGCGAGAUCGAGCGAGAGCACGUGGAUAGUGUCACAGUGUUUGUAAUUAAAAAAAAAAAGUCAUUCAUCGUAUUACGUUCAAUCAAGAACGAUGGUUGUGAAGCCAUAAUUGCGAGUGUGCUUGUGCUCCGUGAUUCUCAUCAAUCGUUCAAAAUUAACAUCAACGAUCUUCACAUUUUUGAGGUUAUGGUGCGUCGUGAUGUGAAAAAUCAUUUUUCUCUUUCGGUAUUUUUGCGCGAAGCUAAACGACAAAUUGACGAAUUUUGAGAUUUCGAGAGAAGUUUUUGGUGAACAUGUUGUUCAUGAAUUGGUUCCGGGUGGCAGUAAAAUUCCAGUCACACAAAGCAACAAGUAAAAUAAUUCACUGAUUUCAGAAUGGAAUUUAUUAAUUUGUAUGUCGAUCACAUGCUUAAUAAAUCUGUAGAGUCGCAUUUUCUAGCAUUUCACGAGGGCUUCCACAAAAUAUGUGGUGGCUGCAUUCUCGAGUUAUUUCACAGUCACGAAUUGAUGGUGGUGGUGGUUGGCAAUGAGAAUUAUGAUUGGAACGAAUUGGAAAGAAUCACCACCUACAAGAAUGGUUAUUCAAAGAUGAUCCAACAAUAGUGCUUUUCUGGCAAAUCUUCCAUGAACUUUCGCUCAAAGAGAAAAAAUAUUCUUAACGGGCAGCGAUAGAAUACCUAUACAAAGCAUGACAGUGAUCAAGAAUGGUUUCAGAAUGGAAAUUAUUAAUUUAUAUGUCGAUCACAUGCUUAAUAAAUCUGUAGAGCCGCAUUUUCAAGCAUUUUACGAGGACUUCCACAAAGUAUGUGGUGGCCGCGUUCUUGAGUUAUUUCACAGUCACAAAUUGAUGGCGAUAGUGGUUGGCAACGAGAAUUAUGAUUGGGACGAAUUGGAAAAAAUCACCACCUACAAGAAUGGUUAUUCGAAAGAUGAUCCAACAAUAGUGCUUUUCUGGCAAAUCUUUCAUGAACUUUCGCUCGAAGAGAAAAAAAAUUCUUAACGGGUAGCGAUAGAAUACCUAUACAUACCUAUACAAGGCAUGAUAGUGAUCAAGAAUGGAAUUUAUUAAUUUAUAUGUCGAUCACAUGCUUAAUAAAUCUGUAGAGCCGCAUUUUCAAGCAUUUUACGAGGGCUUCCACAAAGUAUGUGGUGGCCACGUUCUUGAGUUAUUUCACAGUCACGAAUUGAUGGCGAUGGUGGAUGGCAACGAGAAUUAUGAUUGGAACUAAUUGGAAAAAAUCACCACCUACAAGAAUGGUUAUUCGAAAGACGAUCCAACAUAGUGCUUUUCUGGCAAAUCUUCCAUGAACUUUCGCUCGAAGAGAAAAAAAAUUCUUAACGGGUAGCGAUAGAAUACCUAUACAAGGCAUGACAGUGAUCAAGUUGAGAGUUUCCGGAUAGCUUUUCACUAUCAAAAAUGAAUGGAAUUUAUUAAUUUAUAUGUCGAUCACAUGCUUAAUAAAUCUGUAGAGCCGCAUUUCCAAGCAUUUUACGAGGGCUUCCACAAAGUAUGUGGUGGCCGCGUUCUUGAGUUAUUUCACAGUCACGAAUUGAUGGCGAUAGUGGUUGGCAACGAGAAUUAUGAUUGGGACCAAUUGGAAAAAAGCACCACCUACAAGAAUGGUUAUUCGAAAGAUGAUCCAACAAUAGUGCUUUUUUGGCAUCUUCCAUGAACUUUCGCUCGAAGAGAAAAAAAAAUCUUAACGGGUAGCGAUAGAUAGCGAUAGAAUAUACCUAACCUAUACAAGGCAUGACAGCGAUCAAGAUAACGAUUCAGUCAAUGACAGACGAGCGUUUCUUGCCAGUUGCUCAUACAUGUUUUAACCUUGCUCAUACAUGUUUUAUUGGAUUUGUCCCGCUAUAAGAUUCGUAAAAAGCUUCGUUACAAAUUGCUCCAGAGGAUUCAUCAGACUCGAGAAUUUUCGCUGGUUUAGCAUUAAAAAUUUGAAAGAAAUAUGUGGUAAAUAGAAGAAAUCAAAGAUACAUAAAAUGUCGAUCAGGGAACCUCAGAUCGUGGAUUAGCCAUAUGCCGGAGAUUUGAAAAAACAACGACGAUAGGUUUAUUGAACAUAGGAAAAAACAAUCUCGCUACUUUUUUCAUCCUCCGAGGCUGUUCCCCAUACGCAAGAUUCGGACACCUAGUCGAACGAUCGCAUAUUUCACGCAUAUUAAAUCCUGGCUUAUUUUUCGACUAUUUUUUCGGACCCGUUUUUCAAACUAGAACUUGAGUUGUACGUCAACCAAAAUAUAACCGUACGUAACGAAAUCAUCAACCUUUUUCUACUUUUCAAACAGUCUUACAAGAACUCGAUACUCAUGUCGGAUGCAAUAUUGAAAUAAAGUGCUACUAAAAGUGAGCACAUUUUCAGUUUUUCCGUUUUCAAAGAGUAGAUAUUUGGAUGUAAUUGGAUUUGUAAUUAGUUAUAACGGUUCGAAAAAAAUCUAAAUGUGCAAAAUUUUACGAUUUUCGAAUAGUAUUCGAAUAGUAUCGAAUAGAUAUUUUUGACGAUGUUAAUAAAAAAAUAAAUAAUUUGACCAUUUAAACAAGAAUGUAUUGUUGUUAUUAAAGAUUUAUUUAUUAAUAAAUUUCAAUAAAUUUGAAAUUUUCGAAGUGUUAACAAA
rnacentral:lncRNA from 1 species